rnacentral:rRNA from 1 species
UACAGAGGUCCCAAGCGUUGUUCGGAUUCAUUGGGCGUAAAGGGUGCGUAGGCGGCGCGGUAAGUCGGGUGUGAAAGUCUCGGAGCUUAACUCCGAAACUGCAUUCGAUACUGCCGUGCUUGAGGACUGGAGAGGAGACUGGAAUUUACGGUGUAGCGGUGAAAUGCGUAGAUAAUCGUAAGGAAGACCAGUGGCGAAGGCGGGUCUCUGGACAGGUUCCUGACGCUGAGGCACGAAGGCCAGGGGAGCAAACGGGGA